GCUUGGCCCUAAACCUCAAUAGUUAAAAUAACAAAACUAUUCGCCAGAAUACUACAAGCAACAGCUUAAAACUCAAAGGACUUGGCGGUGCUUCAUACCCCCUAGAGGAGCCUGUUCUGUAAUCGAUAAACCCCGAUCCACCCCACCCUCUCUUGCUUAGUCUAUAUACCGCCAUCUUCAGCAAACCCUGAUGAAGGCUACGAAGUGAGCGCAAAUGCCCUCCCCCGCAAAAACGUUAGGUCAAGGUGUAACUUAUGAGACGGUAAAAAUGGGCUACAUUUUCUACUUCAGAAAACCCCACGACAGCUCUUAUGAAAUCUAGGAGCCCAAGGAGGAUUUAGCAGUAAAUUAAGAAUAGAGUGCUUAAUUGAACUAGGCCAUAAAGCACGC
rnacentral:rRNA from 1 species